rnacentral:lncRNA from 1 species
UUAUUUCAAUAUUGAUCAAUAAAGUGAGAAUUUUAUUUAAGAGAGAAUGUGAGAAGAGAAGAGAAAAUAAUAAAUAAUUAAAACACAAAUACAAAACAAAAAACAAAAAAUAAAAACUAGAGAAAAAAAAAUUAAAAAUAAAAAAUAGAAAGUCCUUGAAAUUUGGAAUUUGGCAGCAGUAUUUUUUUUGGCAACAUUAAAUAGAUUUGGCAAAGUUGGUUUUCCAUUGUAAAUAAUUCAUACAAACACAAAAUAGAUAUUAGAGAAUGUAUAUGCAUUUUAGGCACAAAACAAGAACAAAAGACAAUAAACAAUAAACAACAUAUAACAGUAUAUUAAAUAAAAACAUAUAUGAUGGUGUGAAAAGGCUAAAAUAAAAUGCACAAUAACAUUACAUAGGGUAAUGCUAAUUAAGUUGCUUAAGUGUAAAUUAUUCUAAUAAUGGAAGCCAGGGGUCCCAGUAGAGGUUGGCAAUGUGAAGAGGCUUUGUUUUAAAAAAUAUAUUCUUUUCUAGUAUUAGAUUUUCUUUUAGAUAGUUUAUUCAGCCCUG